GGGGGGAGGCCGGAUCCUGGGCUGUGUCCCCAGCGCCCUGUGCUCCUGGGCCUGCGCUGUUGGAUUCGCGCUCCCGCCCACAGCCCCCU
rnacentral:pre_miRNA from 1 species